rnacentral:rRNA from 1 species
UCGCACGAGAAAGCAGGAGCAAUCCUGUGAGUACAGUGGCGUACGGGUGAGUAACACGUGGGUGAUCUACCCUUUAGUGGGGAAUAACGCUGGGAAACCGGCGCUAAUACCGCAUAAGCUCGAGAGAGGAAAGCAGCAAUGCGCUGAAGGAGGAGCCCGCGGCCGAUUAGCUAGUUGGUAGGGUAAGAGCCUACCAAGGCAUAGAUCGGUAGCCGGCCUGAGAGGGCACACGGCCACACUGGCACUGAAACACGGGCCAGACUCCUACGGGAGGCAGCAGUGGGGAAUCUUGCACAAUGGGGGAAACCCUGAUGCAGCGACGCCGCGUGAGCGAUGAAGCCCUUCGGGGUGUAAAGCUCUUUCGUCAGGGACGAUAAUGACGGUACCUGGAGAAGCAGCUGCGGCUAACUACGUGCCAGCAGCCGCGGUAAUACGUAGGCAGCGAGCGUUGUUCGGAGUUACUGGGCGUAAAGGGUGUGUAGGCGGUUUUCUAAGUUUGGUGUGAAAUCUCCCGGCUCAACCGGGAGGGUGCGCCGAAAACUGGGAGACUAGAGUGCGGGAUGGGAGAGUAGAAUUCCUGGUGUAGCGGUGAAAUGCGUAGAUAUCAGGAGGAAUACCGGUGGUGUAGACGGCUCUCUGGACCGCCACUGACGCUGAGACACGAAAGCGUGGGUAGCAAACAGGAUUAGAUACCCUGGUAGUCCACGCCCUAAACGAUGCAUAUUUGGUGUAGGUCAUUCAGUUGAUCUGUGCCGGAGCUAACGCGUUAAAUAUGCCGCCUG